AAUCUAUCAAAUGCUUUGUGAGACACGUUCUCAUGACAUAUAUGGAAAAAGUUAUAUACUACUCAUCCUGCUUGUGGUUCUUGACUCAGAUCAGAAAGCAAAGGGAACUAGCCUUUAUCUGUGGAGCAAAGGCCAGGCUUGCUAAGAACUCACAGCCAGCUGUGGUCUUCCUGUUAUUCUGGUCAAACCCAUGAUAAGGCUGAUGGUGGAAUGUCCUCUAGCUAGGUACAUGACAAGAUUGUCAGGUUCCCAGUGUGAUCAUGAUCUUUAGCAGAGCAGGAACUUAGUAACAAUUACAGAAGAGUGUCUGGAGUGGGGCUUAUUCUGGACUCUGUGGCUAAAGUCAUUGUGUUCCCCAAGUCAUGUUCCAGCAUAUGCAUUUUUGAGUUUUAUUUGACCAUUUCGAGAAAUACAAGAUUCACUAGGCUUCUGGGGUACACAGCAAAAAGAAGUGCUAAUUGUCAAACACCUCAAUGAUUGUAAGAACAAGAAGGAGAAAGAAAAGAGACUGUUCUUCAAGUGGAAGGAAGGUUCAGACUAUCCUGUUUGUACAAUUUUGAAAAUUGAGAAAAUGUCAGUUGCUUGUGAGCUGUUGCAAUGAAAUAAACAUCCUCAUCUAUUUA